GCAAGUCGAACGGUAACGCGAAGAGCUUGCUCUUUGGCGACGAGUGGCGGACGGGUGAGUAAUACUUAGGAAUCUGCCCAGUAGCGGGGGACAACUCGGGGAAACUCGAGCUAAUACCGCAUACGCCCUACGGGGGAAAGCAGGGGAUCUUCGGACUUCACGCUAUUGGAUGAGCCUAAGUCGGAUUAGCUUGUUGGUGAGGUAAAGGCUCACCAAGGCGACAAUCCGUAGCUGGUCUGAGAGGACGAUC
rnacentral:rRNA from 1 species